rnacentral:rRNA from 1 species
CCUACGGGAGGCAGCAGUGAUGAAUAUUGGUCAAUGGGCGCGCGCCUGAACCAGCCAAGUAGCGUGCAGGAUGACUGCCCUACGGGUUGUCAACUUCUUUUAUAAAGGAAUAAAGUGAGUCACGUGUGCCUUUUUGUAUGUACUUUAUGAAUAAGGAUCGGCUAACUCCGUGCCAGCAGCAGCGGUAAUACGGAGGAUGCGAGCGUUAUCCGGAUUUAUUGGGUUUAAAGGGACCGUAGAUGGGUUGUUAAGUCAGUUGUGAAAGGUUGCGGCUCAACCGUAAAAUUGCAAUUGAUAAUGGCAGUCUUGAGUACAGUUGAGGGAGGCGGAAUGCGUGGUGUAGCGGUGAAAUGCUUAGAUAUCACGAAGAACUCCGAUUGCGAAGGCAGCUUACUAACCUGCCACU